ACGUUAGCGGCGGACGGGUGAGUAACACGUGGGUAACCUACCUAUAAGACUGGGAUAACUUCGGGAAACCGGAGCUAAUACCGGAUAAUAUUUCGAACCGCAUGGUUCGAUAGUGAAAGAUGGUUUUGCUAUCACUUAUAGAUGGACCCGCGCCGUAUUAGCUAGUUGGUAAGGUAACGGCUUACCAAGGCGACGAUACGUAGCCGACCUGAGAGGGUGAUCGGCCACACUGGAACUGAGACACGGUCCAGACUCCUACGGGAGGCAAGCAGCG
rnacentral:rRNA from 1 species